rnacentral:rRNA from 1 species
AAAUUGAAGAGUUUGAUCAUGGCUCAGAUUGAACGCUGGCGGCAGGCCUAACACAUGCAAGUCGAGCGGAAACGACACUAACAAUCUUUCGGGUGCGUUAAUGGGCGUCGAGCGGCGGACGGGUGAGUAAUGCCUAGGAAAUUGCCUUGAUGUGGGGGAUAACCAUUGGAAACGAUGGCUAAUAC